rnacentral:rRNA from 1 species
CCUACGGGGAGCAGCAGUGAGGAAUAUUGGUCAAUGGCCGGAAGGCUGAACCAGCCAAGCCGCGUGAAGGACGAAGGUGCCAAGCAUUGUAAACUUCUUUUGUCAAGGGACAAAAUCAGGCUCGAGAGCCUGACCGAGGGUACUUGAAGAAAAAGCAUCGGCUAACUCCGUGCCAGCAGCCGCGGUAAUACGGAGGAUGCGAGCGUUAUCCGGAUUUAUUGGGUUUAAAGGGUGCGUAGGCGGACUGUUAAGUCAGCGGGAAAAGCCCGGGGCUCAACCCCGGCGAGCCGUUGAGACUGGCUGUCUUGAGAUGUCGAGAGGUAUGCGGAAUGCGCAGUGUAGCGGUGAAAUGCUUAGAUAUUGCGCAGAACUCCGAUUGCGAAGGCAGCAUACCGGCGGCGAUCUGACGCUGAGGCACGAAAGCGUGGGUAUCGAACAGGAUUAGAUACCCCAGUAGUC